UGGGGAAUAUUGCACAAUGGGCGCAAGCCUGAUGCAGCCAUGCCGCGUGUAUGAAGAAGGCCUUCGGGUUGUAAAGUACUUUCAGCGGGGAGGAAGGGAGUAAAGUUAAUACCUUUGCUCAUUGACGUUACCCGCAGAAGAAGCACCGGCUAACUCCGUGCCAGCAGCCGCGGUAAUACGGAGGGUGCAAGCGUUAAUCGGAAUUACUAGGCGUAAAGCGCACGCAGGCGGUUUGUUAAGUCAGAUGUGAAAUCCCCGGGCUCAACCUGGGAACUGCAUCUGAUACUGGCAAGCUUGAGUCUCGUAGAGGGGGGUAGAAUUCCAGGUGUAGCGGUGAAAUGCGUAGAGAUCUGGAGGAAUACCGGUGGCGAAGGCGGCCCCCUGGACAAAGACUGACGCUCAGGUGCGAAAGCGUGGGGAGCAAACAGG
rnacentral:rRNA from 1 species